rnacentral:misc_RNA from 1 species
UCUCCGUUGGUGAACCAGCGGAGGGAUCAUUACAGAGUUGCAAAACUCCCAAACCCUUGUGAACGUUACCUAUCCCGUUGCUUCGGCGGGCGGCCCGGGCCCCGCGCCCGGCGCCCCCCGGCCCCCCGUGGGCGCCCGCCGGAGGUAAACCAAACCCUUGAAUUGCAUGGCCUCUCUGAGUCUUCUGUACUGAAUAAGUCAAAACUUUCAACAACGGAUCUCUUGGUUCUGGCAUCGAGGAAGAACGCAGC